rnacentral:rRNA from 1 species
UACGGGGGGAGCAAGCGUUGUUCGGAUUUACUGGGCGUAAAGGGCGCGUAGGCGGUCAGCACAAGUCAGUUGUGAAAUCUCCGGGCUUAACUCGGAACGGUCAGCUGAUACUGUUUUGCUAGAGUGCAGAAAGGGCAACCGGAAUUCUUGGUGUAGCGGUGAAAUGCGUAGAUAUCAAGAGGAACACCUGAGGCGAAGGCGGGUUGCUAGGCUGACACUGACGCUGAGGCGCGAAAGCUAGGGUAGCAAACGGG